rnacentral:rRNA from 1 species
GAGUUUGAUCGUGGCUCAGAGUGAACGCUGGCGGCAGGCCUAACACAUGCAAGUCGAGCGGCAGCACAGCAGUAGCAAUACUGUGGGUGGCGAGCGGCGGACGGGUGAGGAACACGAUCGGAAUCUACCCUGUCGUGGGGGACAACGUAGGGAAACUUACGCUAAUACCGCAUACGACCUUUGGGUGAAAGCGGGGGACCCGCAAGGGCCCCGCGCGAUUGGAUGAGCCGAUGUCCGAUUAGCUAGUUGGCGGGGUAAUGG